UACAGAGGUCCCAAGCGUUGUUCGGAUUCACUGGGCGUAAAGGGUGCGUAGGCGGUCGGGUAAGUCUGAUGUGAAAUCUCACAGCUUAACUGUGAAACUGCAUUGGAUACUAUCCGGCUCGAGGAAUGGAGGGGGAGACUGGAAUACUUGGUGUAGCAGUGAAAUGCGUAGAUAUCAAGUGGAACACCAGUGGCGAAGGCGAGUCUCUGGACAUUUCCUGACGCUGAGGCACGAAAGCUAGGGGAGCAAACAGG
rnacentral:rRNA from 1 species